rnacentral:rRNA from 1 species
AGAGUUUGAUCAUGGCUCAGGACGAACGCUGGCGGCGUGCUUAACACAUGCAAGUCGAGCGGAAAGGCCCUUCGGGGUACUCGAGCGGCGAACGGGUGAGUAACACGUGAGUAAUCUGCCCCUAGCUCUGGGAUAGCUCCGGGAAACCGGGAUUAAUACCAGAUACGACCACUUUAGACAUCUGCUGUGGUGGAAAGAAUUUCGGCUAGGGAUGAGCUCGCGGCCUAUCAGCUUGUUGGUGGGGUAACGGCCUACCAAGGCGACGACGGGUAGCCGGCCUGAGAGGGCGACCGGCCACACUGGGACUGAGACACGGCCCAGACUCCUACGGGAGGCAGCAGUGGGGAAUAUUGCGCAAUGGGCGAAAGCCUGACGCAGCGACGCCGCGUGGGGGAUGAAGGCCUUCGGGUUGUAAACCCCUUUCAGCAGGGACGAAGCGAAAGUGACGGUACCUGCAGAAGAAGCGCCGGCUAACUACGUGCCAGCAGCCGCGGUAACACGUAGGGCGCAAGCGUUGUCCGGAAUUAUUGGGCGUAAAGAGCUCGUAGGCGGUCUGUUGCGUCCGCUGUGAAAACUCGGGGCUUAACCCCGAGCCUGCAGUGGAUACGGGCAGACUAGAGGUAGGUAGGGGAGAAUGGAAUUCCCGGUGUAGCGGUGAAAUGCGCAGAUAUCGGGAGGAACACCGGUGGCGAAGGCGGUUCUCUGGGCCUUACCUGACGCUGA